AUAAAUACUGCUGUGUUGCAGUUGUUGUUUGGAUGUAUACCUUGUUUGAAUGAUCACACGUAUGGCAGUUAGCAUAAACUAGAGAUUACGGUUUAUAAAGUUUUAAACAUGGAUAUGUUUAUUACAAAAACUCAUUGAUUCACUACAGAAGGCCUUUAUUCACCUCCUGGAGCAAUGUGGAGCACUUUAUAUGAUGGACGGAUGUGCUUUUUGGACAGUUGAACAGAAACAUCCACCCACUACCAUAAUAAAGCUUGGAAGAGCCAGGACAACUUUUAAUAUAACUUUAAUUGAAUUCGUCUGAAAGAAGAAAGUCGUACACACCUAGAAUGGCUUGAGGUAAACUAUGCCUAGAUUCAGGCCCAGGAAGACGGAUGGGGACUCCAGCCACAGUCACUGUUUGAGAGUGCAGCCAGUGAAGUUGCACAGGGGAAGUCAGUGAGGGCAGCAGCAAAGCCAUGUGACUUUAUAUCACUUUAUUAAGAAGUGAGUGAGGGCACAUCUAAGACAGUAAAGUGUUCACAGCAGAGCAGAAGGCCAUACUGUCCGAGUUCCUCCUCAGGGCUGCUGACUUAUAGUAGGGUCUAAGUCCCAAAGAGAUUCGCAAAUUUGCUUAUGAACUGGCAAAGGUUCACAACUGCCAGCAGCCCAAGUCAUGGGAGGAGCACGGAGCGGCUGGGGCGGACUGGUUAGAUGGUUUCCUGAACAGGCACCCGAACCUUUCCCUGAGAUUGACACAAUUAAGCUAGGGCAACACAUUUUAAUAAAACCAACAAUCUGACAGAGCUAUUUCAAAAACAUAAUUUCACUGCCAAGGAUAUCUGGAAUAUGGAUGAGACGGGGGUCACCACUGUCCAGAAACUGGAGAAGAUUCUUGCCAGAAGAGGCCAAAAGCAAGCGUGGAACACUUGUCACUGUGGCAUGUGCAGUGAAUCCCUCCAC
ensembl:lncRNA